rnacentral:lncRNA from 1 species
CGUUCCUUCUAGGCUCCAAACGUAAGGGUGGAUGUUGGGUUAAGUGUUUUUUUUUUUUUUUUUCCUGUUUUUUGUUUUCCUACCUGUGAUUCCAAAAGGACAUAGCUCUAUUAGGUUGUAGGUUAGAGAUCUUGCCAGGAUCCCAGAAUUAGGCAGAGUCUCUACACAGCAAAUAAACAGAAGGCAGAAGACAGAGCAAGUCAGAGUUGAGGACUCUUGGGGACUUACAAGACAAGCGUGACUCUUAAAAGCCUGGCUGUGGAUACAGGCCAGCUGUUGCCUAGCAACAUGAGACCAGCUAAUAAGGAGAAGUUGGAGGCUUAUUUUCCUAGACUGCAGAUGGACUCUAAAUAAGGAAGUUAAGUUUUAUGUGCCUUCUUGUGAUGAAGAUGGAUCCUCACACUUAUACUGUGCUUUAAGAAAGAUGAAAUAAAGACCAAAUCUCUGGAUAUAUGGUACUGAGGAAAGGCCAUGUGGGCAGGCAGCAAGAAGGCAGCCAUCUGGAAGCUAGGAAGAAAAUCCUUACCAGAACCCAACCAUUUUGGCACCCUAAUCUCAGACUUCCAGCCUCCUCGAAGAAAAUAAACUGCUGAACACCAUGUGGAAGCUGCUAAGGCUUAUGGCUUACAUUCUUUGAGGCAGUGACCUGACAUGUAACUGGAUCCCGUUUAGCCAUGGUUGAAGUUGGAUACUCCUUGCUCCUCAGAUUGCAGACGGCCUAUUGUGGGACCUUGUGAUCAUCAAGGCAAGAAGGCCUGACACGUUCAAUGUGCUCUAACCUCCUGCCAAGUAGUGUGCAAGGUUCAAGAGAUGGAAAAUUGGAAGCGAAAGUCCUUGGAGAAGCUCUCAUUCAACUGAAAGCAAAUAUGGAACAGAUAAGAAGGCAAGAAAAGGAUCAUCACAAAUAUAGCCUGACUGGAUGCUGUUUAGAGCAGUAGCUAUUCUAUAUCCUCACAUUCUCAGGUUCUAUAAUCUGAAAAUAGCUAAAUAAAAAUAAUAGCUGAGCCCAAACCACUGAGGUUGGUGUCAAUUCUUUCAUUACAAGAAACUAUCUCAGGGGCUGUUGAAUAAAAAUAAUGAUUUUAUUUUAUUCCCCCCCCAAACCCAUUAAAACACUAAUAAAGGGAAUUUUAAAAUAUACAAACUCAAAAAAAGAUGUGAAGGAUUGUAGAAAAGAGAAUAGCAACAAAAGUUUGGACCAAAAGAAAAUAAAUAAGUGAAUUUAAAAGACCCCCCCCACCCACCUACCCCAAAUAAAUUCUAUAUUCAU